UCCCCAGUAGCUCAGUCGGCAGAGCGUGUGGCUGUUAACCACAUUGUCCGCGGUUCAAAUCCGUGCUGGGGAG
rfam:Desulfobacterium vacuolatum DSM 3385 genome assembly, contig: Ga0002809_107